rnacentral:rRNA from 1 species
CACAGCCGCGGGAAUACGAAGGGGGCUAGCGUUGCUCGGAAUUACUGGGCGUAAAGGGAGCGUAGGCGGACAUUUAAGUCAGGGGUGAAAUCCCAGAGCUCAACUCUGGAACUGCCUUUGAUACUGGGUGUCUUGAGUGUGAUAGAGGUAUGUGGAACUCCGAGUGUAGAGGUGAAAUUCGUAGAUAUUCGGAAGAACACCAGUGGCGAAGGCGACAUACUGGAUCAUUACUGACGCUGAGGCUCGAAAGCGUGGGGAGCAAACAGGAUUAGAUACCCCAGUAGUCCCUGUCUCUUAUACA